UACAGAGGUCUCAAGCGUUGUUCGGAUUCAUUGGGCGUAAAGGGUGCGUAGGCGGCGCGGUAAGUCGGGUGUGAAAUCUCGGAGCUUAACUCCGAAACUGCAUUCGAUACUGCCGUGCUUGAGGACUGGAGAGGAGACUGGAAUUUACGGUGUAGCGGUGAAAUGCGUAGAUAUCAGGAGGAACACCGGUGGCGAAGGCGGGUCUCUGGGCCGAUAUCGACGUGAGGAGCGAAAGUGUGGGGAGCGAACAGG
rnacentral:rRNA from 1 species